rnacentral:rRNA from 1 species
AGCGCGCGCAGGCGGUUUUUCAAGUCAGUGGUGAAAGCCCGGAGCUCAACUCCGGAACUGCCAUUGAAACUGUGAAACUUGAGGAUGAGAGAGGUGAGUGGAAUUCCCAGUGUAGAGGUGAAAUUCGUAGAUAUUGGGAAGAACACCGGUGGCGAAGGCGGCUCACUGGCUCAUUUCUGACGCUCAGGCGCGACAGCGUGGGGAUCAAACAGGAUUAGAUACCCUGGUAGUCCACGCCGUAAACGAUAAUUGCUAGCCGUUGGGCAGCUUGCUGUUCAGUGGCGCAGCUAACGCAUUAAGCAAUCCGCCUGGGGAGUACGGCCGCAAGGUUGAAACUCAAAGGAAUUGA